GAAAACUGCUUAUCGGCGGACUGGGCUGUAUUCGUCUUUCGCUGGAGGAACUGCUCGGUGGUCAGCUCUGCGUGUCCGACUAUUUGGUGGGUUUUCACUGACUCCUUUACAUCAAUGUGGAAAUGUUUCACAUUGUCAUAUUAGCUUCCACAAAUGAAGUGGAAGUUGUUCCAGCAAAUUGGUUUAAAAAAAACACCUGUCUGUGGCCACCAUACAAAUGGGAUGAUGUUGUAAAAGCAGUAAGAUCACAGGAACAACCUGGAACACGUUGGAUUCCGUACAAAGUACGCGUUUUAUUAGGCAAAGGAAGAGGUGUCACAUUCAAGAUGAUGCGGAUAGUGAAGAUGAGACGUCGGGAGCAUCUACUUUACCUAGACCUCCAGAAAUGGCCACUGCAAAGAAGCUGUCACCCUCAAUCCUAC